rnacentral:rRNA from 1 species
CCUACGGGUGGCAGCAGUGAGGAAUAUUGGUCAAUGGGCGCGAGCCUGAACCAGCCAAGUAGCGUGAAGGAUGACUGUCCUACGGGUUGUAAACUUUUUUUAUAAAGGAAUCAAGUGAGGCACGUGUGCCUGUUUGUCUUGACUUUAUCAAUAAGGAUCGGCAAACUCCGUGCCAGCAGCCGCGGUAAUACGGAGGAUCCGAGCGUUAUCCGGUUUUAUUGGGUUUAAAGGGAGCGUAGACGGGUUGUUAAGUCAGUUGUGAAAGUUUACGGCUCAACCGUAAAAUUGCAAUUGAUACUGGCAGUCUUGAGUACAGUUGAGGUAAGCGGAAUUCGUGGUGUAGCGGUGAAAUGCUUAGAUAUAACGAAGAACUCCGAUUGCGAAGGCAGCUUACUAAACUGCAACUGACAUUGAUGCUCGAAAGUGUGGGGAUCAAACAGGAUUAGAUACCCCGGUAGUC